AUUGAACGCUGGCGGCAUGCCUUACACAUGCAAGUCGAACGGCAGCACGGGAGCAAUCCUGGUGGCGAGUGGCGAACGGGUGAGUAAUAUAUCGGAACGUGCCCAGUCGUGGGGAUAACGUAGCGAAAGCUACGCUAAUACCGCAUACGAUCUAUGGAUGAAAGCGGGGGAUCGCAAGACCUCGCGCGAUUGGAGCGGCCGAUAUCAGAUUAGGUAGUUGGUGAGGUAAAGGCUCACCAAGCCGACGAUCUGUAGCUGGUCUGAGAGGACGACCAGCCACACUGGAACUGAGACACGGUCUAGACUCCUACGGGAGGCAGCAGUGGGGAAUUUUGGACAAUGGACGCAAGUCUGAUCCAGCCAUUCCGCGUGCAGGAUGAAGGCCCUCGGGUUGUAAACUGCUUUUGUACGACGAAAGGUUUCUAUUAAUACUAGGAGCUCAUGACGUACCGUAAGAAUAAG
rnacentral:rRNA from 1 species